GGGCGAAUGGUUUAGUGGUAUAAUACUCCCUUAGCAUGGUUUUCACAUCUGGGAGUGGUCCAGGGUUCGAUUCCCUGUUCGUCCA
rnacentral:tRNA from 1 species